rnacentral:rRNA from 1 species
GACGAACGCUGGCGGCGUGCCUAACACAUGCAAGCCGAACGUGAGAUUUGUGUCAAUUCCUUCGGGAAUGGAAAUGAAAUGAAAGUGGCGAACGGGCGUGCAAUACUUGAGCAACUUACCUUACACAGGGGGAUAGCCGACGGCAACGUCGACUAAUACCGCAUGAGACCACAGAAUCGCACGAUAUAGUGGUCAAAGAUUUAUCGGUGUAAGAAGGGCUCGCGUCUGAUUAGCUAGUUGGAAGGGUAAAGGCCUACCGAGGGGACGAUCAGUAGCCGGUCUGAGAAGAUGAACGGCCACAUUGGAACUGAGACACGGUCCAGACUCCUACGGGAGGCAGCAGUGGGGAAUAUUGCAUAAUGAGGGGAACCCUGAUGCAGCGACGCCGCGUGAGCUAAGAAGGUUUUCGAAUCGUAAAGCUCUGUCCUAUGAGAAGAUAAUGACGGUAUCAUAGGAGGAAGCCCCGGCUAAAUACGUG